rnacentral:rRNA from 1 species
UACAUGGGGUGCAAACGUUGCUCGGAAUUAUUGGGCGUAAAGCGCACGUAGGCGGUUUGUUAAGUCGGAUGUGAAAUCCCUCGGCUCAACUGAGGAAGUGCAUCCGAAACUGGCAAGCUUGAGUACGAAAGAGGGUCGCGGAAUUCCCGGUGUAGAGGUGAAAUUCGUAGAUAUCGGGAGGAACACCGGUGGCGAAGGCGGCGACCUGGGUCGAUACUGACGCUGAGGAGCGAAAGCGUGGGGAGCAAACAGG